rnacentral:tRNA from 1 species
GCCGGGGUGCUGAAAUUGGUAAACAGACUACCUUGAGGUGGUAGCGUCAGAAAUGACUUGCAGGUUCAAGUCCUGUCCCCGGCA